UACGUAGGGGGCAAGCGUUGUCCGGAUUUAUUGGGCGUAAAGAGCGUGUAGGCGGCCAGGUAGGUCCGCUGUGAAAACUCGAGGCUCAACCUCGAGAUGUCGGCGGAAACCAUCUGGCUAGAGUCCGGAAGAGGAAAGUGGAAUUCCCGGUGUAGCGGUGAAAUGCGCAGAUAUCGGGAGGAACACCAGAGGCGAAGGCGGCGACCUGGACAGAUACUGACACUGAACUACGAAAGCGUGGGGAGCAAACAGG
rnacentral:rRNA from 1 species